rnacentral:rRNA from 1 species
AUGGGGGUGCCUAAGCAAGGGAAGAAAGCUUCACCAGGGGGCCCUGCCCCAAAGGGCGUCCUCACCGCAUCGUGCUCGCAAACGGGCCAGCCCUCCACCGAGCUUCCGGCUAGUAGCUCGUCUCAACAGGGUUCGUCUUUAGGGGAUCUUCUUUCGGAGAUGAUGGAAAGUGAAACUCCACCUGCCUCUCCAUCCCAUGGGGCAGGCGACCCUGAGGUGUCAUCACGGAAGAGCCUAGAUCCGUUGAGGCCGGAAGCUGACACUUCGGCCGCCCCGAGCCCGACGCAUUCGGCUCCCUUGGAGGGCGAUGAGAAGGGUCCGGAACAGUCCGGUGCCCGGCCGAACACGCUGAUGGGCCUCCUAGAGCAAGCUGCUCUCUCAGAGGGUCACCGUACGCUAAUGGGUACGGUGUUAGAGAAAAUUUCUUCCGCCACAAGCGGGUUAAAUGAAGCUUUUGGAAGUUUGCUCAAAGGCUUCGAGGUACGCGAUAAAAUACGUAAUUUUGAUUGUUCCGCACGCGCUAGGUGUGCUCCGUAUAGAUAG